CCCUCCUAUCAAUGUCGUCCCAAUCUCGCAGCCUCUUCCUGUUAGAGCUCCUCUCCCUGUCCCUUGGAUCAUAUUGCCCUCUACUAGAGUACUGUCUCUCAUUUUUGUAACUGCUGGUAAUCCUAGCCUUUUUACAGUACCUUUCUUCACUAUCAAAGUCUCGUUCCCUUGGCCCCUCAAGACCGCCCUUAUUCCCAUUUUCCUUGACAGAAUUAUCCAACGAAUUCAACCUAUCUUCGGCCCUCCCAUCCAACGGAUUCGAUCCAUUAUCAAAAUUCACCACAAGCACCUUACUUUCAAAAUUGUUUUUAUUACUGCCAUUUAAUUGUAAUGAGGAGCUUUUUUCUCCAUUCGUGCAAAAUUCAACUGCCUCGUUCUUAAAGAGCCCUUCCCCAAUAUUACAAU
rnacentral:misc_RNA from 1 species